UUUUUUUUUUUAUUACAUGUGAACAACUUCGCGACCAGACGAUUUACUCCAGCCAUUGACAUCAAAGGUGGUUUUUGAUUUUUCGGUAACGAAUUCCACCAGGUAGAUACGUUGAACCGGCCAUUUUUUCUGAUUUUACUUGUACUUUUCUCAAUAAUAAGACGUUAACCUGUAAGUCGGAAAAAAGAAAAUGUUUACCGAACUAACUCUGUUAAAAUCGAUUUUGUUUUUCUCUGUAAUCAAAUUAGGAAACAAAUACAGUCAUACAAUAAAGAAAUUUCCAUCGAAUAUUUACAUUAGCGUUUAAAAAACGUGGGUUAAUUUACGAUAAAUUCAGAUUUUUUUUUUUGAGUUAUCCAUUGAUUUUCUUAAAUAUUCGGGUUUGUAUUUCAUCAGUUUAUGUGUGGACAAAAUAUUGUAUUUGCUUCGUUUAAACGGUCAACAAUUCGAUUCAUCAUCGUAUAAAUACGUAAUAUACUCGUAGUGUUACUACAUGUUAGAUUCGGAGCAUAGCGA